GAUGAACGCUGGCGGCGUGCCUAAUACAUGCAAGUCGAGCGAACGGACGAGAAGCUUGCUUCUCUGAUGUUAGCGGCGGACGGGUGAGUAACACGUGGAUAACCUACCUAUAAGACUGGGAUAACUUCGGGAAACCGGAGCUAAUACCGGAUAAUAUUUUGAACCGCAUGGUUCAAAAGUGAAAGACGGUCUUGCUGUCACUUAUAGAUGUAUCCGCGCUGCAUUAGCUAGUUGGUAAGGUAACGGCUUACCAAGGCAACGAUGCAUAGCCGACCUGAGAGGGUGAUCGGCCACACUGGAACUGAGACACGGUCCAGACUCCUACGGGAGGCAGCAGUAGGGAAUCUUCCGCAAAGGGCGAAAGCCUGACGGAGCAACGCCGCGUGAGUGAUGAAGGUCUUCGGAUCGUAAAACUCUGUUAUUAGGGAAGAACAUAUGUGUAAGUAACUGUGCACAUCUUGACGGUACCUAAUCAGAAAGCAACGGCUAACUACGUG
rnacentral:rRNA from 1 species